rnacentral:lncRNA from 1 species
AAACCUAAGUCUUUCCACUAUAAUCAUCAAUAAAGAGUAAAAAAUAAGAAUUUUUACUAAGUGAUGGUGGUUUGAUGAGGCCACAUGCAUCAGCAUGGAUAAGUUAAAGUAGUUUAGGGGCUCUUGAGAUAGCUUACUUUGGAAAGCUCUUUUUUGAAUGCUUCCAAGUAAACAUGCUUCAUAUAGUUAAUUGGGAUGAUCAAUUCUUGGCAUGCCUAUUACCAUCUUCUGUUCUCUUAAAGUUUUAAGUCCUUCAAAAUUAAAAUGGCCAUAUCAAAUAUACCAUAACCAUGAUGAAUCUUCCACACAUGUCUUCAAAUAUAUACAUGACUCCAGUAGUUUGUAGAUUCAACAGAAAUAUUCUAUUGCUUGUCAUAGAU